rnacentral:rRNA from 1 species
GUAAGUGUUUAAGGGCGCAUGGUGGAUGCCUUGGCGA